UACGUAGGGGGCAAGCGUUAUCCGGAUUUACUGGGUGUAAAGGGAGCGUAGACGGCUGUGCAAGCCAGAUGUGAAAGCCCGGGGCUCAACCCCGGGACUGCAUUUGGAACUGUGUAGCUGGAGUGUCGGAGAGGCAGGCGGAAUUCCUAGUGUAGCGGUGAAAUGCGUAGAUAUUAGGAGGAACACCAGUUGCGAAGGCGGCUCUCUGGACUGUAACUGACACUGAGGCACGAAAGCGUGGGGAGCAAACAGG
rnacentral:rRNA from 1 species